rnacentral:rRNA from 1 species
UCAGGAUGAACGCUAGCGGCAGGCCUAAUACAUGCAAGUCGAACGCUCAGUAGCAAUACUGGGAGUGGCGCACGGGUGCGUAACGCGUACACAAUCUACCUCUAAGCGGGGGACACCUCCUGGAAGCGGGGAUUAAUACCGCAUAAUAUGCCGAGGUCGCAUGACUUUGGUAUUAAAGCAGCAAUGCACUUAGAGAUGAGUGUGCGUCCCAUUAGGUAGUUGGUGAGGUAACGGCUCACCAAGCCUAUGAUGGGUAGCCGGUCUGAGAGGAUGGUCGGCCACACGGGCACUGAGACACGGGCCCGACUCCUACGGGAGGCAGCAGUAAGGAAUAUUGGUCAAUGGUGGAAACACUGAACCAGCCAUGCCGCGUGGAGGAAUAAGGUCCUACGGAUUGUAAACUCCUUUUGACGAGGAAGAAAGUGUUAGAUUUAUCUAAUUUUGACGGUACUCGUAGAAUAAGCACCGGCUAACUCCGUG